CUCCUGGCCCGCUGACUCGAGGCCCUUUCCCUUCCCGGCUCCUCUCCGCCGCGCGGACGGUCACCAGCUCUCCAGACUCACCGCAGCCCCCAGCGUGAGCCGGGCCCUGCCCUCGCUUCUGGGUGCAGCUCUUUUAGACGUCCUUCAAUAAAGUUCUACUGUUUUGCCCCCAGGGUCUUGGACCGCACUCUGACAACUGUUGCUGCUUGUAUGGUUAUACUGGUGCAUUUUGUGUGUAUCUGUUAGAGAAUCUUGCGCUUCUAGUAGGUGAGUUUAAUUCUUUUAUUUCUAACCAUUAUUCAGCCACUGAACUUGUUCCUACUAAGGUAUUUUUUACCAUCUAUACUUUGAUUUUGUUCUGUACCUUCUGUUGAUUAAUUUUUUUAAACUUCUUUUUGUCCUCAACACUUAACAAGUUGACUUUAUUCUUGCAUACAAAGUGAAUGAGUAUUGCCAUUUUCCUCCUGAAUGAGACUGCUUGGUGUGUCAGAAAGGUUGAGGGGAACAGAUGACCUGAGGAGUUAUCCCUGCAGGUCUCUCUGCGGUGGGGGAGGGUCGGGCAGGGCAGCCCCAGGCAGGGAGCAGAGUCUGCCUAGGAGACCAGCUGUACCCUGAUGGGGAUGAGUGUGGCCCUGAAGCUGCCCACAGGAGGGGCAGGCUGGGCCACCAUGUGUUCCUCUCUCUUCCUUCAGCACGAGUGUGACUCACACUGGGAAGCCCAGGGUACCAGGUGAUGGCGGCUUUGCACCUGUCUGCCCUGCCCCAGGCUGAGGUGACCUUUGAGGACGUGGCCGUGCUAUUCUCCCGGGAGGAGUGGGGUCGUCUGGGCCCUGCUCAGAGGGGCCUCUAUAGGGACGUGAUGCUGGAGACCUACAGGAAUCUGGUCUCCCUGGGAGCUGGGCCUGCAGGUCCCAAGCCUGGGGUGAUCACACAGUUGGAACGAGGGGAUGAGCCGUGGGUCCUGGAUGCACAGGGCGCCGAGGGGAAAGAGCGACUAAGAGUCAGUGUCUCAGGUCAUGGGACCAGGACUGAAUACAAAGAGUUGUCUUCAGGGGAGAUGCUUGAUGGGGAAGAGUUGGAUCAACUCCAGAAGGCUGUUCCCCAAGGACCUGAUCCUGGUGAGACCCAGGCAUGUGUCUGGGAGCCAGAGGAGAGCCUGGACAAGCUAGUAGAGCAGAGAGGCCUGAGGCCAGUCACACUGGCCAACGAGGAGAACAUCCAGGAGUCUGGGGGAAGCCUCAGGUUUUGGUCAAGCCCUAUCUCUGAUCAGAGACCUCACAAAUGCGAUAUAUGUGAACAAAGUUUUGAACAGAGAUCAUACCUCAAUAACCAUAAACGUGUACACAGGUCAAAAAAGACAAAUAUAGUCCAUGAUUCUGGGGAAUUCUUCAGUGCAAAUUUAGUUGUUAGAGAUGAUCAGAAAAUUCCUCUUGGGAAAAAAUUGCAUUAUUGUGGUUACUGUGGGAAAGCCUUCAGGUACAGUGCUAACCUUGUCAAACACCAGCGGCUUCAUAGUGAAGAGAAGCCCUACAAGUGUGACGAGUGUGGGAAAGCUUUCAGUCAGAGCUGCGAGUUCAUCAAUCACCGAAGGAUGCACUCUGGGGAGAUCCCCUACCGAUGUGGUGAGUGUGGGAAGACAUUCAACCAGAGGCCCAACCUCAUGAAACAUCAGAGGAUUCACACCGGGGAAAAGCCCUAUAAGUGUGGUGAUUGUGGGAAACACUUUAGCGCCUAUUCUUCCCUCAUUUAUCACCAGAGAAUCCACACUGGAGAGAAACCCUAUAAGUGUAAUGACUGUGGGAAAGCCUUCAGUGACGGCUCGAUCCUUAUCCGACAUCGUCGGACCCACACUGGGGAGAAGCCAUUUGAAUGUAAAGAAUGUGGCAAAGGUUUUACUCAAAGUUCUAACCUUAUCCAACAUCAAAGAAUUCACACUGGGGAGAAACCCUAUAAAUGCAACGAAUGUGAGAAAGCCUUCAUCCAAAAAACCAAACUUGUCGAACAUCAGAGAAGCCACACUGGCGAGAAGCCCUACGAAUGUAAUGACUGUGGCAAAGUGUUCAGCCAGAGCACACACCUUAUCCAGCACCAGAGGAUCCACACAGGAGAGAAGCCGUACAAGUGCAGUGAGUGUGGGAAGGCCUUCCACAACAGUUCCAGACUCAUCCACCACCAAAGGUCGCACCACGGAGAGAAGCCAUACAAAUGCAGCGAUUGCAAGAAGGCCUUUAGCCAGGGUACUUACCUCGUCCAGCACCGGAGGAUCCACACGGGCGAGAAGCCCUACAAGUGCAGCAAGUGUGGGAAGGCCUUCCGGCACAGUUCCAACAUGUGCCAGCACCAGAGGAUCCACCUCCGCGAGGACUUUGCGCGCUGACCGCGGAGGAGGGCCCAUGAGUUCUGCCGAGCGCAGCCUCCGUACAACCCGACCCUUUAUUUAUUGUCCACACAGUGUUGUUACAGACGAGGGAUGUUUCUAAUUAAAAACAAACAAACAGUUUUCUUAAACCAAAAGCAGUGCAUGUUCAUUUUGGAGAAAUUGAGAGAGGGUUAAGAAUUGUGCCCCAAGCAGUGGCGGGCUCUGAGGGGCAGCCGCUGAGCCAGAUGCCAGCUACAGACUCCACAGGCCGGGGGUGGCAGCUUGCCCGAGGGCCAGUGACUUCG